GAUCUGGAGGAGAGUGGGUGCUGCUUCAGGCUGGCUCCCCAAGGACAAGGCCCUGAGCGGGACUGCUUUACCGGACUAACGGAGUGCUGUCCCUGGCUUCAAGAUCUUCAAGUGCCCACACAAGUGUCUAAAACACUGAAAUUAGGAGGAGUGCACUCUCAGGGGUGCGGUAACUGGUGCCAGUGUAAAUAUGCACCAUAGAGAAGACUGUGACAUUACGAGCCUAUCGGAGCAAGGCUUGAAACGAUGGGUCUGACAAGAUGCUGUGUUGCUCUGCGUGUCUCCAAGGGCUGAUUGUGGCAAGUAGGGGAAAUCAGCUCAUUAGAGGCUCUUAUUUCCAGCCAGCCAGGCAGUUUCUGAAGCCCACAGUCCAUGAGCAACAUCUCACUUCUCCUGAGCCCUACAGGUGGAAUUCUGGGAUAUUGUGAGGACGGAUCCUGAGGGGAGGCAAACUGAGAGAAAGAGGAAAAUAAUCUCCUGUCUGCAGAGACACCGUGUGAUUCCCCGCUGGCUUGUGCUUUUGGCUUACCUUGCUGAUAUUUUUGACAAACUGAAUUCUCUAAAUGUCUCACUGCAAGGAGCGGAAAGUACCAUUUUUGACCUGUACAACAAGAUAUCGGCAUUCAAGAGAGAGCGAGAUCUCUGGAAAACAAAGAUCGAAACUGGUUUAAGCGUUCCCUUCCCGUUGUUAACUUGACACUGUCAGUGAAAUAGAUCUUGAACUAUUGAGUGUGGGAGAGCCAAUCAAGAAUCAUUUGACUUCUCUCAGAGCCAGUUUGGAGAGAUAUUUUCCCGAAGGAAAUGUACCCCUGAAUGACUGGAUUAUCCAGCCUCUUGUAGCUGAGGCAGUGACCUGGCCCCAUCUCUCUGACAUUCAGGAGAAGCUGAUUGAACUUCAGAGUGAGAGGACACUGGGCAUUCAAUUUAAAAAACAGUCUUUGGGGAAUUUUGGUUGAAAGUUGGCUCAGAACAUCCUGCUUUGUCAAAGUGUGCGAUCAAAGCUCUUUCACCAUUCAGUUCAGCUUAUUUGUGUGAGAUUGGAUUCUCUCCGCUGGAUGUGCUAAAGACAAAGUACCGUUCGAGCCUGGAAAUGGAGGCCGACCUCAGAAAGUCGGUUUCAAAAAUCUAUCCACACAUUGAUAAACUGUCUGCACAGAAAAAGCCACACCCUUCACAUUAAUUGGUAAGUAUCUGUGUAUUUGAAACCUACAUGUGUAGGUAAUGUAAUUAAAGUUGUUUUAAGGUCUCUGUUAGGUUUAUGAGUAGGCUAUCAAGCACACUGUUGCAUAUGUCUAUUUUUAUCUGGGUUGGGGGGGCGCAACCAAAAAUUGUAACUCAAAGGGGGGCGUAGCUCAGAAAGUUUGAAAACCGCUGCAUUAAGGCAAUAGAGCAAAGCUCUGGACAUGUCUGAAGUACGUAGCGUCUUUUCUCACAGUGUCAUGUGUGGCUUCGGGAAGA